AUGCAGAUGUAUCCUUUGGAAAUGGAGGGCAACUCGAACCCAAAGACGACCAACAAGCCCAAGUAUUCCAAGUUCACACAGCAGGAGCUUCCAGCAUGCAAGCCACUACUCACACCUGAAAUCGUCAUUGCCGCCUUCGCGCUCAUUGGCGCCCUGUUUGUUCCCAUCGGGCUUGCGUCGCUGCAUGCAUCACGGCAGGUUGUCGAACUGGUGCAUAGAUAUGAUGCAAGUUGUGUGCCCGUGGAUGACAAGGUUGGGUUCAUCCAGAACUCCAGGACUGACAAAACAUGCACAGUAACAAUGACUGUGCCAAAAUACAUGAAGAGCCCAAUCCAUGUCUAUUACCUGAUCGACGGCUUCUAUCAAAACCAUCGAAGGUAUGUGAGAAGUCGAAGUGACAAACAACUGCGGUAUAAGAGUGCUGCACAUUUGACAUCAGAUUGUGUGCCUGAAGGUGAGACCGCUGAUCAUGCUCCAAUUGUUCCAUGUGGCCUUGUUGCUUGGAGUUUGUUCAACGACACAUAUACAGUCCGGGUCAAUGGAGUGGUUACUCAAGUGAAUAAAAAGGACAUAGCUUGGAAGAGUGACAAGAACAAUAAAUUCGGCAAGAAUAUCUAUCCCAGUAACUUUCAGAAGGGAAGGCUUAUAGGUGGUGCUACGCUAAAUGAGAGCAUACCAUUAAGUGAGCAAGAAGAUCUCAUUGUUUGGAUGAGAACUGCUGCCCUCCCAACUUUCAGGAAGCUGUAUGGCAGAAUUGAGAAAGAUAUCAAUGCAAAUGAUAAUGUAACAGUGGUUAUACAGAACAACUAUAACACAUAUAGUUUUGGAGGAUCAAAAGCGUUGGUCCUUUCUACUGCAUCUUGGAUUGGAGGGAAAAACAACUUCAUUGGCAUGGCAUAUCUGACUAUUGGUGGUUUGUGCCUUUCCCUUGCUAUGGGCUUCUUAGUUCUCUACAUGGUUAAACGGAGGAACUUUGCAGACCCCUCGAACCUGUCAUGGAAUAGAUGA
rnacentral:rRNA from 1 species